GAAAUUCAUCAUGUGACAGAUUGGGUUGGGUUCCUUGUGGGCAUAGCACUGGGCCUCCCAUCCGUUGGGAUGCUGGGCAGUACCUGAUUACAGUCAAACCUAUCUGUGGGAGGUGCGUUUUGGCCCGGUUAAGGUGUCCGGACGAUACACCUUUUGCACCCAAGUAUAUUUUUUUUCGCUAAUCAAUGCCUAAAAUGAUUUUUUUAUGAUCUAGGCCUUUUGGACGUUCAUUUUGAAAUAAGCAAUGUAUGCCUGUUAUGGUCCCAUUUUAAUGAUUCAAACUAUGAAUAUUAUAAAUUUUAUCGAAAAAUUUAAUUUUGUAAAAAAAUUGAUUGAUGGGAUAUAGAUUUAUAUCAAGAUAAAUUUAUAUAAUCUUGUGUUUCACUUAUUUAUUAAGUUAUAAAACAGUACUAAACGAAUAGUGAGAUGUGUCGAUCAAUAUAAUUUUUUAUAGUGCUAUUCUUUACAACAAAAUUUACUAUAUAAAUAAUUUAAAUUAUUAAAAUAAAUUUAAAUUUAAAAUACUUGAAUUGAAUCGAUAGAAUCUAUUUUCAAGACCCUCCUUCUCACACAACAGCAGUAAAAAACAGAAUAGUAAGAUCUACUAUUCAAACAAUUGGCCAAAAAAAAACACUCUCCUCCUACCGUUGACCAAAUCACCCACCAUCAACACUGCACCUUAAAACGCCAAUCCACCCCCCAAUCGAUUUAACCCCAUUUCUGUACCCCCAAACCCACCCGAUACCAUUUCGCCGUCAAUCAUGCCGCCGGAACCACCGCCCCCGCCUUCGCUUAACUUCUGGGGCGACGCCCCGCAGGAGGAGUACUACACCUCCCAAGGCGUGCGCAACACCCAAUCCUACUUCGAGACCCCACACGGCAAGAUCUUCACCCAAUCGUUCCUGCCGUUGGAUCGACCCGUUAAGGCCACGGUCUUCAUGAGCCACGGGUACGGGUCCGACACGGGCUGGCUCUUCCAAAAGAUCUGCAUCCACUACGCCACGUGGGGCUACGCCGUGUUCGCCGCCGACCUCCUCGGCCACGGCCGAUCCGACGGCCUCCGCUGCUACCUCGGCGACAUGGAGAAAGUCGCCGCCGCGUCGCUGGCCUUCUUCAUCAGCGUCCGCCGCAGCGAUGAGUACAAGCACUUGCCGGCGUUCCUCUUCGGCGAGUCGAUGGGCGGCGCCGCUACCAUGCUCAUGUACUUCCAAUCGAAACCCGACACGUGGACCGGGCUGAUCUUCUCCGCCCCGCUCUUUGUCAUACCCGAAAACAUGAAACCGUCCAAGGUAGCCAAACGGAAGAAAGAUUUCGUUUGUAAGACAAAUUAUUUACAAAGAAAUAUAUAGAUUUUUCGGAAAUUAAGAUUUUGGUCAAAAUAUUACUCCACAAAGUACCCAUGUCAACAAUUUUUUCCCUCCAUAUUUUUUAAAAUUAAGGUAUAUUUUUUAAUUAUUAAUGGCGGGACCCACACAAUUAUAGAAUAUUUAAACAUAAUUAAUUUUUAAAAUGAAUUGAUUUUAUUUUUUGCUUCUCUUUUUAGUUAUUUAUGUAAAAGUUGAUUGUAAUCAUAAAGUAGUUAUCAGCAAUUGAAUUAACCGUGACUAAGUAAUUGUGACAUAAAAAAAAUUUAAGUCCUUUUAAAGAAUCUGUUCAUACCAAAUUAAAUAUUCACUUUUAAUAAUGCUAUAUAUUUUAUUUUUUUCUAAAAUAAUUGAUCAAAUAUUUAAAAAGGAACUUGAAUUUUUUUCGAAAAUAUUCGGUCUUGUGGGCCCCACAAAGGUGGAUUCCAUAGUGGAACUUUGCCUUUCUUACAUAUUUUAGAUCGGCGUCCAUUCAGGAAUGUUGGGGUUAAAACUCACCAACGUCAAAUAAAAACUAUAUUAUUUUAAUUUUUUAUUUUUUAUAUUUUUAAAUUUGAUCCAAUGCCUUAUGUAACAUAUUCAAAAUUUCAUUUUGAUCAUAUGUAGUAUUGUUUUGAUUUGAAAAUUAAAAUCAAAACAAUAUAAAAAAUUGAGAUUAAAAUAAAAUUUCCAAAAUAGAAAUCGCCAAGCUCAUAUUUCACAGAUUAAUUUGUUUCUGGAUUUAAUUUAAUCUUAUACAAAUCAAACUGCACAGGCUUACAUCUAUUCAUAUACGGGCGCUAUUCGGGCUAUGCGGACACGUGGCCGCUAUGCCAGACAACCAAAAUGGUGGGAAAAAAGGCCAUCAAAGAUCCUGAGAAAUUAAAGUCCAGCGGGAAAUCCGAGACGGUACACGGGUCACGAGGGUGAGGGUUGGGACAAUGAGGGAGAUAGCAGGGUGUGUGAACACAUACAAAGCAACUUCACCGGGGGUGACGGUGCCCUUUCUGACGGCGCAUGGCACGGCCGACGUUAUUGUCACGUGCCUACCAGCUACCAACUGUUGUACGACAAAGGCGUCGAGCGAGGACCAAGACACUGAAGAUGUAUGAGGGAAGUACCACUCACUGAUACAGGGAGAGCCCGAUGGAAUGCAA
rnacentral:lncRNA from 1 species